rnacentral:rRNA from 1 species
UCGGGAAUUUUGGGCAAUGGGCGAAAGCCUGACCCAGCAACGUCGCGUGAGGGAUGAAGUAUUUCGGUAUGUAAACCUCGAAAGAAUGGGAAGAAUAAAUGACGGUACCAUUUAUAAGCUCCGGCUAACUACGUGCCAGCAGCCGCGGCAAUACGUAGGGAGCAAGCGUUGUUCGGAUUUACUGGGCGUAAAGGGCGCGUAGGCGGCGCGGUAAGUCACUUGUGAAAUCUCUGAGCUUAACUCAGAACGGCCAAGUGAUACUGCUGUGCUAGAGUGCGGAAGAGGCAACCGGAAUUCUUGGUGUAGCGGUGAAAUGCGUAGAUAUCAAGAGGAACACCGGAGGCGAAGGCGGGUUGCUGGGCCGACACUGACGCUGAUGCGCGAAAGCCAGGG